rnacentral:rRNA from 1 species
GAAGUCGGUGGGGUAACCUUUUGGAGCCAGCCGCCUAAGGUGGGACAGAUGAUUGGGGUGAAGUCGUAACAAGGUAGCCGUAUCGGAAGGUGCGGCUGGAUCACCUCCUUUCUAUGGAGA